AAAGAUGAGUCAAAUACUAUUGUA
rnacentral:siRNA from 1 species